rnacentral:rRNA from 1 species
ACGGAAGGCAGCAGUGGGGAAUAUUGCACAAUGGGCGAAAGCCUGAUGCAGCGACGCCGCGUGAGUGAUGAAGUAUUUCGGUAUGCAAAGCUCUAUCAGCAGGGAAGAUAAUGACGGUACCUGACUAAGAAGCACCGGCUAAAUACGUGCCAGCAGCCGCGGUAAUACGUAUGGUGCAAGCGUUAUCCGGAUUUACUGGGUGUAAAGGGAGCGCAGGCGGUACGGCAAGUCUGAUGUGAAAGCCCGGGGCUCAACCCCGGUACUGCAUUGGAAACUGUCGAACUAGAGUGUCGGAGGGGUAAGUGGAAUUCCUAGUGUAGCGGUGAAAUGCGUAGAUAUUAGGAGGAACACCAGUGGCGAAGGCGACUUACUGGACGAUAACUGACGCUGAGGCUCGAAAGCGUGGGGAGCAAACAGGAUUAGAUACCCUGGUA